rnacentral:lncRNA from 1 species
GACAUAUUAAAAUCUAUAUUCCAAAGACUCUAACCUUUAUAAAGAACAAGCAAAACUAUACAUUCCUUUUCUGCAUUUAUAUAAUUCCCUCUCUAUUACGUUCCUGCAGUCCUCUAAUGUUUUAAUCUUUCUGUCACACUUGCAUGAAACUACAGGCCUGGGUUGGAGCCUGCUUCCUUUGCCCUUAAGAAGUUAAGAAAAAGAAGCCAAGACUCUUCCACUUGAUUUUUACUUUUAUAUUUUUAUUUAAUAAUGAUAGCUUUUGAACAAGAUCUGAGUUUUGUCUUAUAAUAUAAUAAUAUUACUCAUGAUAUUAAUGGUAGCAAUGUUACUCAUGUAGUGAGUUGCAUCAAUUGUAAGGGAGGAUUUUUUGUACUUAAUGUCAUAAAUACAUUUAAUAUGUCACCAUAAUUGAUUCUAUCUUUAAUUUUGCAAUAAAGCUUACUAACAGAUGAAAGCCUGGGUUGAAGACUGCGAUAUGAUAACCCUUCCAUCUAGAUUUCCAGUUCAGAUUCUGCUUGAGAGAAAGCCAAUGUCUGACAACUGGACGGUCACCUCUGUGAAUUAAUCUGGUGGGCUCAAUCCGAUUCUACUCACAUCUCCAAAACUAGUACUACAGCCAGCAAGUCUCUACACAGAGUCUAAGAGUUAAGCAAUCACAAUGACUGAACCAUCAACUUGACCUUUAAGAUCCCUUUAGAAAAGGUUUGAUCCACAUUGAUUUACUUUAUCUCUCAGAUGAUCAGCUCUGUACUAAAACCCUGACUGACGAGAAGUCAUUUUUUGAUGCAUUAUGUUAGCAGUGUUCCACAGCCUAACAUGAAAACAGCGGGUGAAAGUCACACCUCACUGAAGUCAAUAGGAGGAUUGCUUUCAGUGGAACUUGGACUUCACCCGGCCAAUCCAGUCUGCAGUGUUUGGAUCCUACCUAUGUCCAAAGUACAGAUUCCAUCAUCUGCCUUCUUUCCUGAACCUUAAAGGUAUUUACUCAGCAUUGCAGUCUCUCAGUUCCACUUUGUUUUAAUGCAGUUACAUAAUAAACUAUGGACCUCCAGAGAUCA